GGGAAGAAAAACAUUUCUUGCCCUGUCUUUCUUCUCUUUUUAUUUCACACACAUCGUUUCUUUCCCUCUGUUAUCCCUUCUUUUUCUUCAGGAAAAUUAAUUUCUCUCUGAACAUCUUUUCAAUUGGCAAAAAAAAACAGUUGCUGAAAAACAAACAUGACAGCAAGUUAAUCAAGGGAGCCUGAGAGAGGAAAAAGAAAAGAUGGAGAAAAGAAAUGAGAAAAUAAAGGAGAAAGAUGGAGAGACUUUGGGUGUUUCUUCACC